rnacentral:rRNA from 1 species
UUCCGUAGGGUGAACCUGCGGAGGGAUCAUUACACAACAAAAUAUGAAGGCCUGGCUUUCGCGGCCGGCUGAAGUAUUUUUUUCACCCAUGUCUUUUGCGCACUUGUUGUUUCCUGGGCGGGUUCGCCCGCCACCAGGACCAAACCAUAAACCUUUUUUUCUUAUGCAGUUUCCAUCAGCGUCAGUAAAAACAAUGUAAUUAUUACAACUUUCAACAACGGAUCUCUUGGUUCUGGCAUCGAUGAAGAACGCAGCGAAAUGCGAUACGUAGUGUGAAUUGCAGAAUUCAGUGAAUCAUCGAAUCUUUGAACGCACAUUGCGCCCUUUGGUAUUCCAAAGGGCAUGCCUGUUCGAGCGUCAUUUGUACCUUCAAGCUUUGCUUGGUGUUGGGCGUUUUUUUGUCUCCCUCUUUCUGGGAGACUCGCCUUAAAACGAUUGGCAGCCGGCCUACUGGUUUCGGAGCGCAGCACAUUUUUUGCGCUUUGUAUCAGGAGAAAAGGACGGUACUCCAUCAAGACUCUACAUUUUUCACUUUUGACCUCGGAUCAGGUAGGGAUACCCGCUGAACUUAAGCAUAUCAAUAAGCGGAGGAA